rnacentral:lncRNA from 1 species
UUCAUCUUCAACCUUCAUACUCAUCUGAACCAUCAUCUCCUUCAUCUUCAGUUUGGAUCAAUUACUCAAGAACAAAAAGCAUAAUCUUGAUGAACAACAUUAAGGUUAAUCCUUGUUUUCUUGUAAGAGCUUAAACGGGUACUUGGGUAGAAUGGGUUGAAAUGAUUUAAUGCAUAAAAUAUUCCAAAAUCGUAUUAUUUGAUGGGCAAAGUAUUGCGAGUUUGCGACUGUUUCUCAUGACAGGACAAUAAACUAUGGUCUAGCAAAAAUGCUGAAAAGGAUAAGGCAAUGGAUGUUGAUUGAAUCUCUUUAGGCAAAUUGUAUACGAGGUAAAGUCUGUGAAGAUGAAGGGGAUGAUGUUCAUAUGAAUAUGAAAGUUAAAGAUGAAGGAAAUUAGGGUAUUAAAAGGGGGAAAGACAAGUGGGGAGGUGAAUUGACCGUUCUACCCUCAUGUGUAGUGCACAUGACAUAACUUAACUGAAAAUUAUAACUGGGUUUGCUCUAAAGGACAUAACGUGCAAGAUUUUCAAACAUUAAGUACAAAAGUCAUCAAUUUUAAAGGUAA